GAAAGGUCAUUGGCUCUGGUUUCGGUGCUCCAAUGACAUUCUCUCUUAUAGUACAAAUAAAUAGUCUCAAAUUUGUUAUCUUGUUGAUGUUUGUGAUAUUUAUGUAGGCGUGCAGGUUGGGGUGAAGCUGUUUAUGAUUUGAUGUAGCUAAUUUUUGCAGACUAACUAUUGCUUUGUUUUGCUUUCAAAGAGCUCUGGUCUUUGGAGUUCGGCCAAACAGAAAACAAAACUAAAGCUCGGUCCUUACUUUUCUGAGAGACACAAAAGCUUGAGCCUUCUUCUAUCCAAACUAUUGGGUUGUCACUCUCUUGCAUGUUUGCUUUUUCUUCUGCAGCUUGGUGUGGGUUUGCAGUUUUGAGUCUGAUCUUAGGGUUUUGGAACCUACUCUUUUGGUUGAGGUUUCCGUUUAUCUGUUUGUUUGUUCCUGUGCUUAAGAGUUUUUGUGUGGUUGAUCUGCCUGGUACAUGGAAUGUUAGGUUUUCCUUACAAAGUCGAUCUUCAUGCAUCGGCUAAAGAAACGAUUGGAAUACUACUGAAAAUUUCCUGAUAUCCUUCUUUUCUCCAAGUAUGUAGCGGGGUUUCGAUCAGUUCUGAUGUGCCAGGAAGAGGAAGAGGUAUCUGGAAGAUUUUUCCUUUUCUUUACACUAGUCUAUCAUCUGUAAAAUUUGACCGUUCCUUAAUAUUGGCUUAAACUCUUAAACCUUAAAUGCAAAAAUUCUGGGUUUAAAGUUUCAAGCUUCAAAGGAUUUUGAUUAUUAUUUAAAGCUUAGUAUCCAGAUUGUUCUCAGUCGAUCAACUGUCAAAUUAUUCAAGGCUGUUCUACAUGUAUAGAUUGGCUUUAAUAGUAUGUAUGCUCCAACAUUAUAAUUUUUCUUGAAGCACUUUCUACUGAUCUGGCUUUCACAAGUCCAUGAAUUUGAUUUUUCACUUGUCAGAUUUCUAUUCAGAUUUGGAGUUUCCAUGAUCACCAACUUUGCAACCCAUAUGUUUGCCCAGUUAUUUGGUCUAUACAAUAUGAUUUAACUCCUUUGAUCUACAAGCUGAGGUUCUAUAUAUGGAAGGUUACAUAUUGUUGAUGUUGGGAUACUAGAUAAAUUUCGUAUCAGCCUGUCAUCCCUGGUGUACCUUUAAUCCAUGGAGCGAGAUCCCUAUCUUGCAUGUGAUAUUGUGUUCAUUAGUAUCAUGCGGCAGAUUUUGGUUACUAGCUACGAGAACAUAUAUUAGUAAUUGUUGUUGAUUUGUGAUUCUAGUGCUGUAGGUCUUAGCUAUGUCAUAUUUGAUCUUAAUCAACAAAGUAAAAUUGGCUCAGUCUGAUACUUUUUCUUGGUGAAUGGUGAUGCUCUUCGAAGUCUGUUUUUGUGCCUGAAUAGGUGAAUUUGUAUGAUGAAGUUUUGGAACAUUGAUACGUUUAUAUCAUUUGCCCUUAUUUUCUUUUCUUUUUGUCUUACAUUUUUUAGGCAUUGACAUGAAAUGUGCGGAACUUGUAUGUCAAUUUUCUUCAUAAUUGUAUUGUGAUUAGUGGAAAACAUGUUAAUCCGGCUUUUAGCAGUUACUGUAUGUGUAUAUAUGACUAUGAGCUGAGCUAUUGGUGGUUUGGAUGACAGAGAGAGAGAGUACACUUGUCAGCAUCCAUGAAAACCCCUCUCUUUGUCAUCGUACUGCUGUUGUCCUGGUCUAUCCUCGAUGCUAUGUUUCAUGUAUUUGCAUCUUUGGGAUGUAAACUAGCUGAUAAGCUUAUAACAUUGUGUAAUUUGUCAUUUAUCUUUGUCAAUCAUAUUAUUUAUUCCAGAAUGGUUUCCAUUAGCCUUUUUGUUGGUUGAUGUCUUGUUAUGAUAUGGAGAUUACAUGUUGAUGAAGUAGAGUGGUCAUUGUUCAUGGAUCAAUCUCUUAGUACAUCAACAUGGAUGCAUUAUCUUGUUAAUUACAUUCAGUUGCAUGUUUGGAAAACUAAAAUAUUUUGGCUUAGUGUUCAGCAAUUCAAUUUUACAUAAUUAAAUUUUUCGACCUCAAUAAAAUUUUGACUAAAGUAAUUUCAAUAAAAAUUUCUAUGUACUUUUAAUCUUCUUCUUUUUUUUUUUCCUUUUCUUUUGUAAGAACUAUGUCAAUAGGACUGGAACAUGAGGUGUGGCAGUGAUAUAAGAUGAUUAGAUUAGGUUGAGAUCAACAUUCAGGUAUGAGUAGUAGGGAUGCAAAACAUUCAACAGUCGGCUUUGUUUCACUUGAAGUAUGGAAUUGAUAUUUUACUGCUGACCACAAAACCAAACAUUAGAGUUCAUUUGAGCUAAACAACUGGUAUGCGAUAUUAUACAUGAGAAUUUAUUUGCUUGCCAAGUUUUUCAAAACUAUUGUGUUGGAUAUAGUUAAAUUAUUACAUAUAUACAAGUAAUAAACAGACAGAAGACUGUAUGGAAACAGCAACAGCAUGAUUGCUAAUAUGAUUACAAACAAUGAUAGUCAUGAGCUUGAGGAACAUCAAAGGGAAGUGCUGAAUUGGAGGUUGCAUGUUGAUGUUGUGACUCGGGACUUUCUUGCGUGUGAUACUGUGUUAAUUUCAUGUGGUGGUUUUGGUGACUUUUUUCCGGCAGCUGGUGGGUUUUGAGGACCAGUUGGUAGUACAUUAUAUGUAGUUGUACAUUUAUGAUCAUGGUUGAUGUGUGAUGUACUGUUGGUCUUUUUUUUUGUUUUUUUGUCAUUUUACUAUUGGUCUUAACUAUGUUUAUCUGAUUAUAUCAACCAAGUACGGUAUUUCCAUCUUUUUCUUCUUUGGCUUUUGCUUUCUGUUUUUGGCUGUUUGUUUCUUUUCUUUUGAUUUCUCUAGUCUUCUUUUGCUUGCUUUGCAGACUUUGUCUGGAUUGGGCUGUGUCCCAUGAACUGUUGUUUGGCCAUGUGCCUUGUGACUAAAAAAAAGUACAGUGGUCCAGUCUGGGGGUUUCUCUAGGAAUAAGAACAAAUGACUGGCAAAGGCGAGGUGUGGCGGAGAUUAAGUUGAUGAACAGUCUGCAAGAUUGUAAAAGGCUACCUUAAGGCACGCUUUCUGCCUAGGCAUAGGCUAAAUGCAGCGAUGGCUCUGGUAAAAGCAAGCAGGCACAAAAAUUGCACAGGAGGAGGGAAAAGCUUAAGCCUCAGGAGCUUAGUUGAUAAGUCCUCAGGUUUUGGAUUUCUUCAGUGUUCAUGGGAUCUAAAUGGAAAUGUUCCUUAUAAAAUAUUUGUUGGAAGCUGCUGUUCAAGCAAUGCAUGGUUGUGAAUUCUAAUCCCAACUGAAACCCAGGCUUAAAGGUCUUUUGUGCAUGCUGGAUGAUUGUCUAAACGGCGGGAGUUUAACAACAGUAGGAAUGUGACAGACGAAGACAAACAUGCCCGGUACAAAUAUAUCACGGACGUUCCAAGUUAAAGGAUAUCAGGCGUGCUAGAGACUUUUUCAGCCUUUCAAGUAUAUUUGCAUCUUGUCUGGUUUCGUAUGUGGCCGUGGGACAGGUUUCCUUUCCAAUCUUGGAUGACAAUCUUGUGAUGGAGCACUGUGACCGUUGGAUGCACUAAACGUCCUUAAGACCAUACCCAGUGCAUCCAGUUGUAGGUUAUGGCAUGUAAACAUCUCUAUAUUCGGGAAUCUUGAGUUUUGUUUUCCAAUACCGAGUGUCCCAAAAUCUGUAACCUGAACUAAAAAGGGAGAAUUCCAUAUCUCCAACCCUUCAAUGCAGAAUAUGAAAAUCCUGAAA